AUUGAACGCUGGCGGCAGGCCUAACACAUGCAAGUCGAGCGAGCGGCGGACGGGUGAGUAAUGUAUGGGGAUCUGCCCGAUAGAGGGGAAUAACUACUGGAGACUGUGGCUAAUACCGCAUACUAGCGGAGGAAACCAUCUGGGAUUAGCUAGUUGGUGGGGUAAAGGCUCAACUAGGCGACGAGCUCUAGCUGGUCUGAGAGGAUGAUCAGCCACACUGGGACGGAGACACGGACCCGACUCCUACGGGAGGCAGCAGUCGGGAAUCUUGUACAAUGGGCGCAAACGUGAUGUAGGCAUGGCGCGUGUAUGAAGAGGGCCUUCGGGGUGUGAAGUACUUUCCGCGGGGAGGCGUUACCCGCAGAAGAAGCACCGGCUAACUCCGUGCCAGCAGCCGCGGUAAUAC
rnacentral:rRNA from 1 species